CCUCCACGCAUGUGCUUUGUUCUUCCCUUCCUGCAUUCAUUUUUGCUCGAUUGCGCUGCCCAGACCAAGAGACAGGCUUCACGCUUUUCACAAUAAACCAUGUGCUUACAAUACAUGGUUUCUCGCAGCCCUCCAUGCCAAUUCCUAGUGUGCUGCGCGAUAGAAAUACCCUUCUCCCUUGGGAUUUGAAUAUAUUGGUCGUUUAAGUUGACAUGCCUCCUGCUCUUCCUUUUCACUUUGCUUCUUAUCUCCUGUCCACCUUCACCCUUAGACUUGGACAUUGCAGCUUAUCUUCAUUAACCAACCUCCUUCCCUGUGCAUCUAGAUGCCAGAAAUGUUGGCAUUCUAUUUCUCCAUGAUCUAAAGCAUAAUUAGCCAAAUGAUCAGCCAGCUUGUUUCCCUCCCUAUGAAUAUGCGUAAAUGUGUAAUUUCCCCCAUUCAUUAGUUGCAUCAUUUCCUCUACCUGCUCAGAUAUGAUCCAUGGUGGUUUCCAAAUCCCAUCCAUUAUCUUUUUUAAUAACAUUGAGUCAGUUUGAAGCCAUACAUAAGAAUAUUGUCGAAAUCUGCAGAACCUUAGUGCUUCUACCAUGGCCUUCGCUUCAGCUACUGUGUUUGUUGUCUCCUCAAUCUCCCUCCCUACUGACUUGACUAUGUCACCAUUUUCAUUUCUUAUACAAAAACCUAUUGAGCUCCUGCCUGGAUUUCCCCUCGAUGCCCCAUCCGUAUUAACUUUUAGCCAUCCCGCACUUGGAAGUUUCCACAAGACUUUGGUAACCUUAAGUUUGAGAGUGAAAUUUUCCAUCAUAGCUAGAAGAUCUUUCCAUUUGUGAGGUAUCAUGUCCAUCCUAGGCUUUCUCACUUUCACCAAUGCCUGGAGAUUUGAUGAAACUUGGUAAAUCACCCUGCUAGUUGUCACAGCAUCACCAUACUUCAUACUAUUUCUUCUUUUCCAGAGUUCCCAUACUAUGCAUGAAGGGAGUGCUUGCAUUACUGGUUUUAGCCUUAAGCACACAUUUGCAGUCCAACAUUUUGUGAUUGCUUGGUGCAAAGUAAGUCCCUCCACAGCUAUUCCUGCCCUCGAUAGAAAAUACUUCCAAGUUGUCUUUGCAGAUUCUGAUCUAAAAAACAAAUGCUGAAGAGAUUCCUCAUCAGGCUGUACACAACACCAACAAUUUGAUGGCAUGCAGUAGCCUACUUUUUUCAAGAAAUCAUCUAAAGGUAACUUUGCUUUCCACACUUUCCAUAUGAAAAAUGCUAUUUUAAAAGGCAGUCCCUUUACCCAAAUCAUCCUAUAAACUGUUCUUGGUUCGUCUCUUCUUCUCGUAUAAUCCCAUGCUGACUUAACACUAAAAUAUCCUCUUGUUUCCAGCAUUCAACAAGGCACGUCACGAACCUGCUGAGAUGAAGGAGGUUUGAUUUUCUCCAGAAUGUGUACUGCUAAGUCUUCAGGAAGCAAUUCAAAUAGCCUGACCACAUCCCACUCACCAUCUAAGGUAACCUCAUGUACAUUUUGUACUGUUUCACCAAUGCCAAAGUCCUGAGGAACCAAAAAAUAUAGUGCCCCAAGACCUGUCCAGUUUUCAAACCAAAAAAGUGAGGAUCCCCUUUUUGUUUGCCAAAAGAUUUGAUGUUCAAUCAGAUCUCUACAUUCCAGCAUUUUUCUUCAUAUGUGAGACCCCCUUUUCCAUGGAACAACUACUGAAUUCAUUUUCUUACAGUAUUUCUGACAUACGAAAGAGCUCCAUAGGCUUGGUUUUGUUCUGAAAUUCCACCAUAACUUGCUGAAUAAUGCCUUUGCAACAUCAUGUAGUGACCUGAAACCUAUUCCUCCUUCCUCCACAGGCAAGCAUAAGGUGUUCCAUGAAGCCCAAUGCCUACUAGUUCCUCCUACAGAGCUGCUCCAGAAAAAUUGAGCAAACAAUUUGUGCAACCUAUUUAUCACAUAUUUUGGAGGGUUAACAACUGAUAGUAGAUGCAUAGGCAUACUUUGCAGUACAUUGGAUAUGAGAACUGCACUGCCCCCUACUGAUAAUAACUUGCUCUGCCAUGAUUGCAUUUUGUCCAUUACCUUAGUAAUUAGGGGCUGAUAGUAUUCCAGCUUUCUCCUUGCAUAAAAAAUAGGACAACCUAUGUAUAUGAUAGGAAAUUCAUUCCUAUGAAUGCCCGUGAUCCUUUCCACCUUGCUGACCACUUCCAUGUUUGUUAAAUGAUGUAGGUACACAGCUGAUUUGGUCUUGUUAACAAGCUGCCCAGAUGCAGCUUCAUAUGCCUUCAACACUUGCAUAAUCAGCAUCAGAGAUGUUUCAUCUGAGGAUGAGAAAAUAAUCAUGUCAUCUGCAUACGCCAAAUGAUUGAUCUUUGGACUCCACUUUGGCAUCCCA
rnacentral:lncRNA from 1 species